GACGAACGCUGGCGGCGUGCCUAAUACAUGCAAGUAGAACGCUGAAGGAGGAGCUUGCUUCUCUGGAUGAGUUGCGAACGGGUGAGUAACGCGUAGGUAACCUGCCUGGUAGCGGGGUUAACUAUUGGAAACGAUAGCUAAUACCGCAUAAGAGUAGAUGUCGCAUGACAUUUGCUUAAAAGGUGCAAUUGCAUCACUACCAGAUGGACCUGCGUUGUAUUAGCUAGUUGGUGAGGUAACGGCUCACCAAGGCAACGAUACAUAGCCGACCUGAGAGGGUGAUCGGCCACACUGGGACUGAGACACGGCCCAGACUCCUACGGGAGGCAGCAGUAGGGAAUCAUCGGCAAUGGACGGAAGUCUGACCGAGCAAAGCCGCGUGAGUGAAGAAGGUUUUCGGAUCGUAAAGCUCUGUUGUAAGAGAAGAACGAGUGUGAGAGUGGAAAGUUCACACUGUGACGGUAUCUUACCAGAAAGGGACGGCUAACUACGUG
rnacentral:rRNA from 1 species